UCCUGUAGGUGACUGGACUUGGAGAUAGGGAAGUCCUGAAGGGUAGUGGCUGCCUUGUAAGAGAGUGUCCCCGUCACUAUGGGUAUGCAAACAGCUUCAGAACAUUGGCCUGGGAUAUUGUGGACAGAUUUCAUCCAUCAGGUAGAAGGUUGGAGUCAACAACAGUGAAAGUGCCUCCUGACCGAGGGACCUGCAUCCUCUUCCUCUGCUCCCCACCACCCUAGACCAAAUUUCUACCUCCAUCUGCAACUAAGAGUUACUUCCUCCACGCCAAGACCUCCAGAAGCCUCCCAGAGUGGUGGGAGAAUGGGACAACGUGUAUUCAGCGGCUGUCUGGCGGGCCAUACCUGCCGGGUGGAGGGAGAAGAGUGCCCCUCCCAAGUGGGCAGCGCCUGCUCUGCUCCGGCUGGGGGCCGUGAAACGCUUUGAUGGAGGGGCGAGAAGGCAAAGGGAUGCGCGAACCGGCCACGUGGAGGUCCCGAGCGGCAGGCAGGGCGGGAGCCGCGAGCGGGCCGUGCGCUCGCCCCUCCCGCUCGGGGGAGCCUCCGAGAGUCGGGUCGUCGCUGACCGCAGGCUGCAAGAGCGGUUGAUCUGAAAGAUGUCCCCAAGCGCUGGUCCUGAAGUUUCCACCGUCUGUGAACCAACGAGGGGACAAAAGACUUACAUACUGAGCACCUACCAUACGGAAGGCUCUGUUAGGUCUUGCUUAGAAUGUCAUUAAAAAGUUUAC